AUACGGAGGGUGCAAGCGUUAUUCGGAAUCACUGGGCGUAAAGGACGCGUAGGCGGGUUGGCAAGUCAGAUGUGAAAUCCUACAGCUUAACUGUAGAACUGCAUUUGAAACUGCUAACCUAGAGUAUGAGAGGGGGAGAUGGAAUUAGUGGUGUAGGGGUAAAAUCCGUAGAUAUCACUAGGAAUACCGAAAGUGAAGGCGAUCUCCUGGAACAUAACUGACGCUAGGGCGCGAAAGCGUGGGGAGCAAACAGAAUUAGAAACCCUAGUAGUCC
rnacentral:rRNA from 1 species